rnacentral:piRNA from 1 species
CUAUUGAUAAGUGAGGUGUAC